CCCAACCCAAUUCAACCAAGCCCAAUCCAAUCCUAUCCCAGCCCAAUCCAAUCCUAUCCCAGCCCAUCCCAGCCCAGCCCUGGCACUCUGGGGUCAGGUUUAAACCCAUUUCCAGUUCCUGCCCUGUUUUUCUGGGUCUGCCAGAGUCUCUGAGCUCCUGCUGGAGGUGCUGCAUGCCUGGCUGCAGUGCAGGUAUAAAGGGCACUGAUGGAGCUGCAUAAUCAAGAUCUAGGAAGACAAGAUCAGGAUCACAGCCUUGAAUAAUUCUCCCCAGCAAUGUCACAGAGACGUGGUUUGAUUUUGUUCUGAAGUCCUGUGCAGGAAGCAGAGUAUUCUCAGAAGGGAUCUCCUCAUCCAGCUGCUCUUGUAGCUUUAUUGAUCCUGUCUGUCCUUCAGCUAGCCUGGACAUUAU